UACGUAGGCAGCGAGCGUUGUUCGGAGUUACUGGGCGUAAAGCGUGCGUAGGCGGUGGCCCAAGUCUGGUGUGAAAUCUCCCGGCUUAACUGGGAGGGUGCGCCGGAAACUGGGUUGCGGGAGUACCGGAGAGGCAAGCGGAAUUCCUGGUGUAGCGGUGAAAUGCGUAGAUAUCAGGAGGAACACCGGUGGCGAAGGCGGGUCUCUGGGCCGAUACUGACGCUGAGGAGCGAAAGCGUGGGGAGCGAACAGG
rnacentral:rRNA from 1 species